CCGGGCACCACUAGUCGGCAAUGGCAAUAGCGUCUCCCUGAGCGUCCUUACAAUGUCCGGUGGAGGGUGAAAGUUGUCAAAAACUCUGCUGUGCAUUGUGCUCCGAUGUCUAGGAGUGCUUGUUGGCUGUAUUGAGUGAUUAAGCUAAAAACUACGUUGAGCCGCAAUACGCACGUGAUGCCAAACGCCACCAUCUUGGUCAUCUAUGCAGCAGCACUAGGCAUAUUGGUAAACAAAUAGAGGGCAGGACAAAGGAAACACAGCAAGUGCUCCGCGCCUGUCUCCUGCCUCCUGUUUCAUCAUUACAAUUUCCGAGAAGAGGUCUGCAAUAACACUUUCUCGGGAUGUACACUUCCAGAUUGGAGAUGGUGAAGAGCAACAUACUUUCAU